rnacentral:rRNA from 1 species
AUUGAACGCUGGCGGCAGGCCUAACACAUGCAAGUCGAACGGUAACAGGAAACAGCUUGCUGUUUCGCUGACGAGUGGCGGACGGGUGAGUAAUGUCUGGGAAACUGCCUGAUGGAGGGGGAUAACUACUGGAAACGGUAGCUAAUACCGCAUAACGUCGCAAGACCAAAGAGGGGGACCUUCGGGCCUCUUGCCAUCGGAUGUGCCCAGAUGGGAUUAGCUAGUAGGUGGGGUAACGGCUCGCCUAGGCGACGAUCCCUAGCUGGUCUGAGAGGAUGACCAGCCACACUGGAACUGAGACACGGUCCAGACUCCUACGGGAGGCAGCAGUGGGGAACAUUGCACAAUGGGCGCAAGCCUGAUGCAGCCAUGCCGCGUGUAUGAAGAAGGCCUUCGGGUUGUAAAGUACUUUCAGCGGGGAGGAAGGGAGUAAAGUUAAUACCUUUACUCAUUGACGUUACCCGCAGAAGAAGCACCGGCUAACUCCGUG